rnacentral:rRNA from 1 species
UACGUAGGGGGCAAGCGUUGUCCGGAUUUAUUGGGCGUAAAGAGCGUGUAGGCGCCAGACAGGUCCGUUGUGAAAACUCGAGGCUCAACCUCGAGAUGUCGAUGGAAACCGUCUGGCUAGAGUCCGGAAGAGGAGUGUGGAAUUCCUGGUGUAGCGGUGAAAUGCGCAGAUAUCAGGAAGAACACCUAUGGCGAAGGCAGCACUCUGGGACGGUACUGACGCUGAGACGCGAAAGCGUGGG